GUGCUCAGUUUGGCAGUACAUAGAGUAAAAUUGGAACCAUUCAAAGAAGAAAAGGAUGGUCCCUAUGUAAAGAUGACAUGCAAAUUUAUUAGUGCUCCAUAAAUUUUU